ACUCCUACGGGAGGCAGCAGUGGGGAAUAUUGCACAAUGGGCGCAAGCCUGAUGCAGCCAUGCCGCGUGUGUGAAGAAGGCCUUCGGGUUGUAAAGCACUUUCAGUUGUGAGGAAGGUGGUGUCGUUAAUAGCGGGGAUCAUUUGACGUUAGCAACAGAAGAAGCACCGGCUAACUCCGUGCCAGCAGCCGCGGUAAUACGGAGGGUGCGAGCGUUAAUCGGAAUUACUGGGCGUAAAGCGCAUGCAGGUGG
rnacentral:rRNA from 1 species